rnacentral:rRNA from 1 species
UACAGAGGGGGCGAGCGUUGUUCGGAAUUACUGGGCGUAAAGGGCGCGUAGGUGGCCUGUUAAGUCGAACGUGAAAUCCCCGGGCUCAACCCGGGAACUGCGUCCGAGACUGGCAGGCUCGAAUCCGGGAGAGGGAUGUGGAAUUCCAGGUGUAGCGGUGAAAUGCGUAGAUAUCUGGAGGAACACCGGUGGCGAAGGCGGCAUCCUGGACCGGUAUUGACACUGAGGCGCGAAAGCCAGGGGAGCAAACGGG